GACGAACGCUGGCGGCGUGCUUAACACAUGCAAGUCGUACGGUAAGGCCCUUUCGGGGGUACACGAGUGGCGAACGGGUGAGUAACACGUGAGUAACCUGCCCACAACUUUGGGAUAACGCUAGGAAACUGGUGCUAAUACUGGAUAUGUGCUCCUGCUGCAUGGUGGGGGUUGGAAAGCUCCGGCGGUUGUGGAUGGACUCGCGGCCUAUCAGCUUGUUGGUGGGGUAGUGGCCUACCAAGGCGGCGACGGGUAGCCGGCCUGAGAGGGUGACCGGCCACAUUGGGACUGAGAUACGGCCCAGACUCCUACGGGAGGCAGCAGUGGGGAAUAUUGCACAAUGGGCGCAAGCCUGAUGCAGCAACGCCGCGUGCGGGAUGACGGCCUUCGGGUUGUAAACCGCUUUCAGCAGGGACGAAGCUUUUUGUGACGGUACCUGCAGAAGAAGCACCGGCUAACUACGUG
rnacentral:rRNA from 1 species